rnacentral:tRNA from 1 species
GCUGGCUUAGCUCAGUAGGUAGGAAACUGACUUGGAGUCAGUAGUUCACCAGUUAGAUUCCGGUAGACAGCA